rnacentral:rRNA from 1 species
CUACGGGCGGCAGCAGGCGCGAAAACUCUACAAUGCACGCAAGUGUGAUAGGGGAAUCCCAAGUGCUCAUGCUUUGCAUGGGCUUUUUUCAAGGGUAAAAACCUUGGAGAAUAAGUGGUGGGAAAGACCGGUGCCAGCAGCCGCGGUAACACCGGCGCCACAAGUGGGAGCCACAUUUAUUGGGCCUAAAGCGUCCGUAGCCGGUUAAGUAAAUCUCUUGUGAAAUCGUCGAGCUCAACUUUACGAAUGGCAGGAGACACUGCUUAACUUGAGACCGGGAGGAGUCAGAGGUAUGCAUAGGGGAGCGGUAAAAUGUUAUAAUCCUAUGUAGACCACCUGUGGCGAAGGCGUCUGACUAGAACGGUUCUGACGGUGAGGGACGAAAGCCAGGGGAGCAAAACGGAUUAGAUACCCCCGUAGUC